rnacentral:misc_RNA from 1 species
GAUCAUACAAAUGAAUUGCAUCUAGACUAGCAUUUACUGAUACCUUAUGUACUACAAUUUAGUAACCGGCAAAAGAGAAGAAACCAGUUUUUAUUGAUUUCAGAUCUUAUCGUGGGGCUGGAGCGUUUCCUGAACUAAAAGAAUAUAAAAUUUUCUAUCUUAGAUUUCUGAAUCAUUGCAACUGACAUCUCAAUGGGAGCUUAAACUUCAGUGCAUGCCAACACUAAGCCAGUGGCUGCAAGGGAAGUACUUAUCACAGAACAACCUCAUUCCAGCUCAAUGAAAUCCGAGAGUUGUCUAAACAGCAACGAAAGUGUCUUGGUAAUGAAAGUGGUUCUUGAUCAAGUCAAUGGAAAACGCAGAAUAAAACAUUUGAUGCGGAAACGAUGCUCUUCCUAUCAAUGUCAUUAAUUAAAUGCUUGCAUAAUGAUAACUGUACUUUUAAAGAAAACUGAUUGAUUGAUCUUUGCGUCUGCCCAAGAAAAACUUUACACGACUGCUGUUCAAAGAAAAAUUCAGGAAGUUCAGACAUUCUGGAGCUUGGCAAGUUGUGCUUGGCGCUGUCCUAAAUGGAAUGCUGUAACUAUCC